rnacentral:rRNA from 1 species
CGGGACACGUGGUAUCCUGUCUGAAUAUGGGGGGACCAUCCUCCAAGGCUAAAUACUCCUGACUGACCGAUAGUGAACCAGUACCGUGAGGGAAAGGCGAAAAGAACCCCGGCGAGGGGAGUGAAAAAGAACCUGAAACCGUGUACGUACAAGCAGUGGGAGCACGCUUAGGCGUGUGACUGCGUACCUUUUGUAUAAUGGGUCAGCGACUUAUAUUCUGUAGCAAGGUUAACCGAAUAGGGGAGCCGAAGGGAAACCGAGUCUUAACUGGGCGUUAAGUUGCAGGGUAUAGACCCGAAACCCGGUGAUCUAGCCAUGGGCAGGUUGAAGGUUGGGUAACACUAACUGGAGGACCGAACCGACUAAUGUUGAAAAAUUAGCGGAUGACUUGUGGCUGGGGGUGAAAGGCCAAUCAAACCGGGAGAUAGCUGGUUCUCCCCGAAAGCUAUUUAGGUAGCGCCUCGUGAAUUCAUCUCCGGGGGUAGAGCACUGUUUCGGCAAGGGGGUCAUCCCGACUUACCAACCCGAUGCAAACUGCGAAUACCGGAGAAUGUUAUCACGGGAGACACACGGCGGGUGCUAACGUCCGUCGUGAAGAGGGAAACAACCCAGACCGCCAGCUAAGGUCCCAAAGUCAUGGUUAAGUGGGAAACGAUGUGGGAAGGCCCAGACAGCCAGGAUGUUGGCUUAGAAGCAGCCAUCAUUUAAAGAAAGCGUAAUAGCUCACUGGUCGAGUCGGCCUGCGCGGAAGAUGUAACGGGGCUAAACCAUGCACCGAAGCUGCGGCAGCGACGCUGAUGCGUUGUUGGGUAGGGGAGCGUUCUGUAAGC